rnacentral:rRNA from 1 species
AUACGGGGGGAGCGAGCGUUGUUCGGAAUCACUGGGCGUAAAGGGCGUGUAGGCGGUUUGGUAAGUGAGGUGUGAAAGCCCCCGGCUCACCCGGGGAGGGUCAUCUCAUACUGCUGAACUUGAGUGCGGAAGAGGAUGAGGGAAUUCCUGGUGUAGCGGUGAAAUGCGUAGAUAUCAGGAGGAACACCGGUGGCGAAGGCGCUCAUCUGGUCCGUUACUGACGCUGAGGCGCGAAAGCUAGGGGAGCGAACGGGAGUAGAAACCCCAGUAGUCC